GACGGACCAACAUCCACAGAGGAAGCAUUGAGAGAUUAAUUAUUCAGAUGCAAUGCUAUUAUGAAUGUAUGUAGAGACUGCAAAGACAAUGUAAUGUGAUUGUUUCUUAGCGAGGGUACUUAGGAGAGAUACUUUCAUCAGACAGUCAGUUCUCCGGCUGCCAGCUUUACAUUUCUGGAUAUGAAACACAGGAAGGAUUUAAAACGAUUUCCUCAGAAUGAAGAGCGCCUCAUUGGCGAAUUUCUGAUGGUCGGGGAUGGUGGAGAAAACAGAAAGCACCAGACAGCUCAAUACCAGAAGAAAACUGAAACACAAACACACACAAACUAACAGAUCAAAAUACAAUAGACAACUAAGGAAGCAACAACAACAUUAAAAGAAACAAAUCAACAAACACAAACAUUUCACAGUGAUGCAGUGAGACCGGCCAAAAUUAAACACAAACAAGUGACAACAUGUACUGAAUGAUCUUGGCCCCAACUGAAUGACUCGGGUGCCACGGCACUGACAACCCAUAAUCCAAGCUGGCACAUGGCUCAUACACACAGAUGCUCUUAAUCACUGCUGUCACAGACCCUCUCAGAAUACCCAGCAUGCCCUAUCAAAAAUGGAGUGGGUAACAGCAGAGAUUAAAACCUCACUUCCUGCCAGUUCUAGGAAGAACGCAAACUCCGGGAAAAGCGGCUCUUUUGCAAGAACCAGGCUCUGUGAACCGCUCCAGGUGUUACCAGCAGCUGAAGGCUUGCAAAACAAAAGCUGAAUUCGGCAUGGCCAUCCACAUGCAAGCAGCUGCUGCCUGGUACAAAGCCAAAUCCCAAGAGGACCCGACCUAACACAUCUGGCCUGCUGACUCGUACCAUCCUUCAAAUGCGAAACUGUAUGUCUGCGCUUUGCUAAGUACACAAGGAGAGAAUGAGAUGGGUCAGCUGCAGUGGUUGGUGUAAUGUGAAGGUUUGCAACUGUGUGUCUGUUCUGGGCUGUUAGGAGAUUAACAAAAGAUAAACAAAAUCUUGCUGUUUAAUGGAACCCUAAAAAAUAACUGAAAUACAACUACUGAAAGUCUUUCUCAUAAUCCAUUAUUGAUGCAAACGUGGGAAAGAUGCAGCAGAAACUCAACACCAUACUCAAGACUAAUGAUCAACUGUAAGAGAUUCCUUUUGAAAUAAUAUUUACAAUAAGUUCUCAGAAAAGAGUAAGAAGACAUAGAUAGAGGCAUUACUGUAAAAGUUACAUGGUUGCCUUAAAAAUCUGAGUUAAUUCAACGUAAAAAUAUUAGUUAACACCAAAAAGUUGUGUAAAAAUGUCAACUAAUAUCUUUCAAGUUCAAUUAACUCAAAAUUUUAAGGCAACCAGGUAUCUUACUUUUUUAACAGACUGAGAAAAUAUUUAAACAUUUGUCAGCAAGUGAGUCAUUGAUAAUUCACGCUUUUGUAAGUUGACAUAAAACCGGACCAGGAAAAAUCAAAAGCAUUAUUUGGAGGCAUUUUACAAAUAUAUUUUCAUUUCCGUUACAAUUCCCAUUUGCUCUGCACAUUACCCAGUUUAACCAAAUUUUACAAAGUUCAGCUGGAGUUAAAAGUUUUCUAAAAACCCAUUCAAACAUGUUAUUGUGAGCUGCACAUUGUUUUAAAGUCAUAAAGAAACAAAAAUGUGUAAAGCAAAAAGUGCAGAUACAGCAUUAAUAUGAAGAUAAAUGUGCAUUAUAGAUCCAUUAUCAUUGAAAUGUGCUCUAAAACAUAUUCUUUCUGCUAAAUACCAUUUGAGGAAACAUGAGACGACUAAUAGGUUAUUUCAUCCCUGCAUGUUUUUCACAUUAGUUUUAUCCUUUCUGCUGAGUGUGACUGAUUAGCGCAAAGUAAUUCACAGGUAAAAUGAUCUAUCACCAAACAACAGAAAAAAACAAGCAAGAAAAAAAAUAAACGAAUCCAGAAGCACUGCAAGCCCCAGAUCUGAAUCAUCAACAAUCUUACUGGAUGGACAAAGGACGAAAAUGAACAGAAACUGCUUAGCUACCUCAACACCCUUCCAUCAAAAAAACGAUUAAUGCCACAAAAAUAGAUACAUUACGCACAGACCACGUGCGCCGGGUAGCAUUUCAGCUGAGAGGCGAGUUUUGAACCCAACCUCCAAGCCCAAAAGUCAAUCAGAAAGAAAAAAAACAGAAAUCAAAUCCUUAAAUCAGCAGAAAAGAUGGUCUCUUGAGGUCAAAACAAUGUAGUUCCACGACUGCAGUUUUUUUUCCCAUAACCGAGUGCUUGAUCUUAACUGUAAAUCAUGUCAAUAUUUUGCUCUGAUGGAUUGCUUUUGUUGGCAGGGUCCAAGUAAAAAUUUAAAAUUUGGAUUUCAGGGAAGCUUAUUACAAAAAUAACUGUACAAACAACAAAUGAACCCUGUAAAUGUCAGAACAAGAAAGCAGUCACACAUUCAAC